GACAGAGGGUGCAAACGUUGUUCGGAAUUACUGGGCGUAAAGCGAGUGUAGGCGGUCUGCUAAGUCGGGUGUGAAAGCCCCGGGCUCAACCCGGGAAGUGCACUCGAAACUGGCAGGCUAGAGUAUCGGAGAGGUUGGUGGAAUUCUCGGUGUAGAGGUGAAAUUCGUAGAUAUCGAGAGGAACACCGGUGGCGAAGGCGGCUCACUGGCCCGGUACUGACGCUGAGGUGCGAAAGCGUGGGGAGCAAACAGG
rnacentral:rRNA from 1 species